rnacentral:rRNA from 1 species
UAGGGAAUCUUCCGCAAUGGACGAAAGUCUGACGGAGCAACGCCGCGUGAGCGAUGAAGGCCUUCGGGUCGUAAAGCUCUGUUGUUAGGGAAGAACAAGUACAAGUUGAAUAAGCUUGUACCUUGACGGUACCUAACCAGAAAGCCACGGCUAACUACGUGCCAGCAGCCGCGGUAAUACGUAGGUGGCAAGCGUUAUCCGGAAUUAUUGGGCGUAAAGCGCGCGCAGGUGGUUUCUUAAGUCUGAUGUGAAAGCCCACGGCUCAACCGUGGAGGGUCAUUGGAAACUGGGAAACUUGAGUGCAGAAGAGGAAAGUGGAAUUCCAUGUGUAGCGGUGAAAUGCGUAGAGAUAUGGAGGAACACCAGUGGCGAAGGCGACUUUCUGGUCUGUAACUGACACUGAGGCGCGAAAGCGUGGGGAGCAAACAGGAUUAGAUACCCUGGUAGUCCACGCCGUAAACGAUGAGUGCUAAGUGUUAGGGGGUUUCCG